UGGGGAAUUUUGGACAAUGGGCGCAAGCCUGAUCCAGCCAUGCCGCGUGCAGGAUGGAGGCCUUCGGGUUGUAAACUGCUUUUGUACGGAACGAAAAGGUGCCUUCUAAUAAAGGGCGCUCAUGACGGUACCGUAAGAAUAAGCACCGGCUAACUACGUGCCAGCAGCCGCGGUAAUACGUAGGGUGCGAGCGUUAAUCGGAAUUACUGGGCGUAAAGCGUGCGCAGGCGGUAUUGUAAGACAGAGGUGAAAUCCCCGGGCUCAACCUGGGAACUGCCUUUGUGACUGCAAAGCUGGAGUGCGGCAGAGGGGGAUGGAAUUCCGCGUGUAGCAGUGAAAUGCGUAGAUAUGCGGAGGAACACCGAUGGCGAAGGCAAUCCCCUGGGCCUGCACUGACGCUCAUGCACGAAAGCGUGGGGAGCAAACA
rnacentral:rRNA from 1 species